rnacentral:rRNA from 1 species
UGAGUAACGCGUGGGUAACCUGCCUUAUACAGGGGGAUAACAGUUAGAAAUGACUGCUAAUACCGCAUAAGCGCACAGGAUUGCAUGAUCUGGUGUGAAAAACUCCGGUGGUAUAAGAUGGACCCGCGUCUGAUUAGCUUGUUGGUGAGGUAACGGCCCACCAAGGCGACGAUCAGUAGCCGACCUGAGAGGGUGACCGGCCACAUUGGGACUGAGACACGGCCCAAACUCCUACGGGAGGCAGCAUG